GCAGGAGGGAGCCUGGUGAGUCUGAUGCCUGCCCACAUGGAGGGACUCAUGCUGUCUGCAUGGAAGUGGCAGUAUUCCUUGCAAAGUGAAGGAAGCUCAAGUCCUACAACAGUCCUACAACGACCCGCACAUUACGACGAGGGACAUGCUCAGCUGGGAUGGGCUUCACCUGUCCCCCAAAGAAUCCUCACUGUGAAUUCCUCAGGUGAAGAUGGCUUUCUGGAAGCUCUAAAGAGAUGCAGAAUCAAAAUGAAGCUCUUCAGGGUGGAAUUAAAGCAGGAAAUGAUAGAAGGAUAGAUCUCCUGUCCCAUGACCUUUGUGGAAGCAAAACCUUCUCAGGUGACUAUCCUCCUUGUUGACACAUCCUCCCUUGCUUGAGUCAUAUUUCUUGGAACAGGCAUUCAAAUCAAGAGUCAUCCCAUUUGAUUGAAGUAUAAGCUCUGGACUGAUCUAAAGCUUGCAAAAACAAGUUUCACAACUGGAAAACCGAAAACAGGAUCCAAACAGUUAGCUAUUAUAAGAUGAUGGUCCCUCCCUACUUGCUUUGUUCAGACUUUAAACUGACCAACUAUGAAGGAGGAAUGCUUUGUAGCUAUACAGCUGAAGAGUAUAAGAAUGAAAUAGAGUUGCUGGCAAGAUGCACUCCAGGAGAGCAAGAAAUCACUGCAACAUUGUAACCUGAGUCCAGCUGAUCACUCUCCAGGAAGGAUCCAUGCCAGAGAAGGCAGCAAAGACAGAAACUGCUUUCUUCCUGCUCUGGUGAGCGACACUAUUGCAGCUAACAUAUACUAGGACUUUUGUGAUAGCUCAUUUACUGAAUAUUGGGAAGGAGUCUUUCUGUCAUUUAGUUUUCUAGCUUGUUUGUGGCAUAAUUAUUAAAGCCUUUCUGUCAUUAAUCAAACAA